UUCGGUCAUAUCCUGUUUCAAUAUAGUUUUGUAUUUCUGCCUUAUAUUUCUCCACAUAUUUGAAAUCUGGAAUCGUUUUAUCUUUAAUUGUAAUUAAGCGUUCGGGAUCCUUUUCAAAAGAGUUAGGCACCACAGUUGGAUACUGGUUCCACAAAAAUCCUAUAUGAGCUCGGUCUCCAUCUCCGUUUGUAGUUUGAACCUCCUGCGGCAAAGAACUGCUUGACAUCAUACUUACUGCCUUAGCUAAAUCACUAGGCUAUUGACAAAAAUCAGAAACGGUCGGAUACGGGUUAAUUUUGCAGCAUUUUUUUGCUAUAAACCAUUUCUUCGAGUAGAGCUCAUCCGAUGGUACAGACAUCCAGCAGAAAUUCCAGUUCUUCUAUGACUUUUGGCACAUCAUUUGGGUAAAUGAGCAUUGAAAGGCAUUUCUGAAGACGCAUCAAGUUUUGGCGAUGACAGUAUCGAAAUUCUUCAGUUGUAUCUUUAAAAUUGGCAAUAAACUGCGGUCAUUCAUCUGCGUUGCCUGAAAACGACGGAAAAUCGUAGAGCUUACACAUUGCAUAUGAAUUCUUGGUGACCUCUGACGGAUGUAGAAGCAUUCUGUGGAUUUCCGCUCAAAAUUUGCAGAUUACGACUUCCUUCAUUUGCAUUAUUGACGGAUUGUUCAGCAACACCUUCACAUGACCCUGAUAUUACUAACGGCAUUUUGCUUCUUCUUGAAUUUAACCUUACCGAUAUUGGGCCUCCAUUUCUUGCUUCAAUGUUAGCCAUUCGUUGUUGUAAACAGCUAAUGUCCGUACGGCUUUGCAUUAUGGCUCUCGUCAAAUCCUUAAGACUUUUCGUUAAACUUCGUAUUUGGGGCUGCAUAGAUGUUGUUGGCCCUAUCAUCAAUGCAUUCAAUUCAUUCAUGUUUAUAUCUAUAGGCGAAGGAGGUCUUUGUUGUGCAGAACGUGACGUUGGCAGGAUGUCUUCCAAAAUAAAUGUACAGGGCGGUUUCAAAAUUUUCCAAAUGCACACAGCCGUGGCAAAAAUCAGACCAAUUUCAGAAAAACCAAUUUGUUAAAGAUAUUGCAAUCCGGCUCAACCCAGAUAAUACGGCAACACGCAAAUCUAACCAAGAUAACCAUCGCUGUAAAUUUUUCCUGAUGUUCUCGGCAGGAUACGAACCCAGGCAUUCAGCGUCAUGGUAAUCUCCGCGCUACGGUGACCUCGAUUCUCCAAUUUCAAUAAUUAGUUAAAUGAACUGAAAACCAGUAAGGUACAAAAUAUCUAAUUCUGUGCAAUUCGAGCAAAUAUGUUCAAGAUGUAAUAAAUACGGUGAACAAAUGACAACAUUAUUGCAAAUGAGCCAAAACCUGACGAUCAUAUAUAUGGGAGCUACAUCUUCUUAGAUAUUGUGGUGUGCAUCGAAGAAUGUGUUAUGUACAUUUUUGGCAGUAUUGGCCAAUAAUGCGCUUGCAGUGACCCUAGAAAUGAAAAUAGGGCAAAAUACAUAUAUUGCAGCUUUACAUAAAU